GGUGGUUGUAGUUGUAGGGGCGGUGACGGUGGUGGUGGAUGUAGUUGUAGGGGCGGUGACGGUGGUGGUGGUUGUAGUCGUAGGUGCGGUGACGGUGGUGGUGGUUGUAGUUGAGGGGCGGUGACGGUGGUGGUGGUUGUAGUUGUGGGGCGGUGACGGUGGUGGUGGUUGUAGUUGCAGGGGCGGUGAAGGUGGUGGUUGCUGCGGUGGCCGUAGUUGUGGGGGCAGUGCUGGUGGUGGUUGUAGUGGUGGCGGCGGUGGCAUGUCGCUUCCUUCCACCGACAGCUCCGCGUGGGCCGCGGCGGGCUCUGACCCCUGAGGGAGGAGGAGGGGCGGGUGGAGCUGGGCCGGCGGCCUGAGCGCUGUCCUGCCGCCGAGCCCGCGGGGCGGCCGCACGUGCCGCGCUGCCGUUGGCUGGAGGGCCUGGAGGAGCCACCGCCCGGCCAGCCUGCGGGGUCGGGGCGUGCGGCUCUGCGGGUCCGGCCCUGGAGCUGAAGCGCCGUGGUCGCAGGUGGGGCUGCAGCGCUAACUUGGUUAUCCUGAGAACACGCGCUUUCUUGCCCUGGAGAAUUGCUGUUGAAGAGGGACAAGAGAGGAGGACAACGCAGGAGGAGAUAAGUAGCUCUGGCUGGACACAAGGGCACAAUAACUUAAAUGAAAUAGUAAGUAUAAAUGAAAAAUAAAAUAGAGGAAUCAAGAGCCCAAAGAACUUUUAAGGAAAGCUCAUUGAAUGGGUUACAUCACACUGACUGGUCUCCUGGCUCUCUUUGAAUCCACUCACGGCAUUCUACACAAAGAUGACAUGAACUUCUGCUUAUUCUCUCCCACUAUAGAAUUUGCUAGACUUUAGCUGUAGACAGCCUGACCUAAGCUGCAUGAGAACUUGAGACGGAAUCACUUCAGCCACAGAUUCUAAGUCCGAGAGGCGAGCUGUUUCCCCAGGAUAAACACAAGAAGGGUAGUUAACCAGAGAGUGGACUGGACUUUCUCAGAGCAAACGAUUUGAAAGUAACACCGUGGAAUGUUUGAGUUGGAUAAAUCUCCAUGAGUUCUAUCAGCAUAUUCUGAACUGAUGUCUGUUUUAAAGUCACGUUAUUUUUGAUGAUCCAUAUACUGUAACGUUGUAGUGAGGCAUUCUACACCUGGAGUUUUUCCUUAGGGUCUCAGCCUCACAGCCAAAGUGAACUGGAGUCCGGGCACGCUCCUCCGCUCACCUGCUGACACCUGUCUCUGGCCUCCGCAGUUGGAGAGAAGGCCAAACUCCUUAGCCUGGGCUGUGAGGACCCCUCGCCUGCCCUCUGCCCCACCCCCUGGCCUCACCUCCCUCCACCCACGUGCAUCUUUGGCUCCAGCUCUGCUGCCUUCUUGAGGGGCUCAGCAUACUUUAUCUUUGUCUUUCUUUCUCCAGCUGUGUGACCAUCCUUCCCGUUACACUUUACACUGUCCCUUCCCCUGCCCAAGCCUUCCAAAGCCCCUUAGCACCAUCUCAACCUAGCUGACUUUCUUCAACCUUCAAGACUCGGCCCAGCUGUCAGCCAACUCAGAAGUGUCUUUGGACCCACCACAGCACUUGUCACACUUAUUACAAUGGUUUACAUGUCUGUCUUAAAGAUUAGGCUGUCUUUCUUGAGGGCAAGCUUGAUACAUUCAUUUCUCAUCACUCAUAAUUUAAAACAUUGUUGACCUAUGACAGGCACUCACAAAUGUUGGUUGAAUGAAUGCAUGGACAAUAUCAACAGUCUGAAAUUGGGUGCCACUUUGGUUUAGAGGGUGGUCUCUCACCGUGGGAGGUUGUUUUCUCAUAUAUAGUAUUGACGGCUUUCUUUUCACUCAAAUGCUUUGUGCAUCAUGGAUCAAUAUAGCAAAUGAAAUUCAAGAACCAUUUGAAUAAACCAUUAUUAGAAAAUAACUUUAGGUGUAGACUAACUCCAUUCAUGUAUAUGCCUCUAAUUACACAAUUACUUCCUUCCAAAUAUAUUAGAUUCUUAAAAUUUCAGCUUUUUGUUAGCAAUUUGCAACCCAUCAUUUUUAUGCAUGUAACUUGCAUCCUGUCUUAUUUACCUUUUGCUCAUUUGAUUGAACUUAUGACUACAUGACCUACAAUUCAAGUAACUAACCUUCAGUAAUUAAAGUGAGGGUGAUCUUCUGUCUGCAAGCACAGUUCAGCCAUUGUUCUCAGUGAAUGCAGGAGCUGGAAGAAAGUCAUGUAGCUCAGAGAGUGAGAAGCUGGGUUUCACGUCUUCCCACACACAGAAAGGAAAGGUAUGCCAUCUCAACCCAUUUAAGGGGUGGAUGAAUCUUUUGACAUCAUUUUGGGAAAUGGUAGAAUAUUGAAAAUCCUAUGUUAACAGAAUCCAUGAGUGUACAAGGCCAAAGCCGUAGACCCAGGAAAAUCCUAGGACGUGCAGAGCAGGACGAGAACAAGAACUGAGCAGGCGGCGAGAAAGUAGCGUCACAUGGCCUCCGCACCGCCCAUGCAGCCCGGGUCCUAAAAGAGCCAUAACUCACUCCCAAGCUUGCUUUUGUGAUCUUUUCCUGAAACACAUUAUGGUAUCUUUAAACGAUGCUGGGUUUCCUGAAGCUUGUGCUGCUGACCACCAACCCCACCCUAGAGAGCACUGAGUGACAGAUACUGUAAACAUCCUACACUCUCAGCUGUGGAAAGUGAGAAAGCUGGGAGAAGGCUGUUUACUCUCUCUGCCUUGGAAAUCAACUAAAGAGAAAUGGAUCCGGAGUAUUUUUCUGUGGCUUGUAAUUGAUCCUAUCUGGUAUUUAUGUAUGAGGUUAACUCUAAAAGGAAAAAAAGUAAAUUGACUCAUGCUAACAAAUAUAAAAUAAUUUGUAAGAUUGAUCGUCUUUGAACUAACACCGUUUGAAAAAGAAAAAGAUUGCCGAAUACCCAAGAGAUAAAAGUUCAGGUAACUUGCACAAGGCUACAUUUUGUGGGCUGCUGUGGCCUGUUCUGUAAAAGCAGCAAAACAUUAAAUGCCUGCACAUUAAGCGUAGUGAUUCUGCAUCAACCUGGACAGCAUUUCUACACCGAGUUUUGACAGCAAAAGUCCUGGGACUUGCUGUUCUGUCAAGGAUUGGGUGCUGCUUGGAGCCGCAUGCUUAAGGAAUGGUUCCGAUGAACAGGAUGAAUAAGGCCUGCUAUUUAAAGCCAGAAUAUAGUUACACAUCUUGAGAAAAGAGAGGAUUGUGUGGGAGGCAGGUGGGAUGCAAGGAGAGAAUUUUAAGAGGAAUCUACAGAACUAACUCAUAGGUUCAGCCUUAACCAGAAAAACUAUGCUCUUCAUUUCUUCUUCCUUGUAAAUAAUUUAAAACAAAGAUUUAUUGAAUAUCUGGUCUAGAGUUUGACUUACCCAAAAUUUAAAUCCCUGUCUUGUUUUAUUUUCUAAUUAAUAUUAGAUGUUUUCACAGAGCAUACUUAAAUAAGGUAUAUUUAAUAUAGCAAGCCCUUAAAAAGAUUAAAAUAACUAACAAUGCUGCUUUGAAUAUUAAAUCUGGACACAAUUACUUGCAUAUAUUGUCUUAGUAUAUCAACAUAUGCCAGUCAUUUAAGCUAAGAUUGCUUUAAUACUGCUUUUAAAGUAUUAGAGGAACUUUUAAUUUCACCUCCUUGCUGAGUACAGAUUCUAGGACAAUAGGAACAAUUGUUUAUGUGAGUCUUACCAAAAAAAAAUGUGUAUAAAUAUGAUUACCUUAGCAUGUGCUUUCCAGGAAGUAUUUGAACAAGCUGGCCUUGCAGCAGUGGCAGACACUGUUGAAGUGCUUGCUGAGCACCUCCAGCUUGGGCGAGUCGUUAACCUUUUUAGAUUUUGCCUACAGGCUUAAGGAAGACCUCUUUGAGACAAUGCUUUAUAGUAUUCCCAAAGAAAUGGUUAUUGUGGACGUUUGCAGUUUUGCUUUCUGCCAAGAGGUGCAUAUAUGGGUGUGCGCAAAAGCAGCUCAGAGUGGAAGGGGAGCAAUGCCCCAUGUGCUUUUCCAUAGUUUUUAGUUACUCUGCCUGAAUGAAAAGGGGAAACAUUCGGUAUUCCUGAUGGAAGUUGAUUUUGACUUUCAGUCAUGAACGUAGCUGUUUCAAAGCUUAUUGGAAUACGUGCAGAUGUUCAUUCCAUCAUCCGAGAAGUAUUUAUUGAGCACCUGCUGUGUGCCACUUCUGCACGCUGGCGAUAGAGCAGUGCACAGAAACGAAAUCCUUACUCUCGUGAGCCUACAGAUAGAUAGCUAUGAUGUGUCGGGACAUAAAUCUUGUUUGUGUAUGUAUCUAAACUAUCUAAUUCUAGUCAAUGGUGUUCUUGCCUUUUUCAGUCUUUCAAAACUAACUAAAUGAAUUUAGAUAUUCUGGAACAUUGACUUCAUUGUUUAUGAAAAACCUCUAGAUAUAAAUUUACAUAAUAAUAUUAGCUUUUGUAUUUAGCACUGUUCUUCCAAGUAUGUUUUCAUUGUUACUAGCCUGUUUUGCAACACAGGUAAGUGUAUUAAUAAACAUGCUUGAGAGGUCACUGUUAUGUAAAUAUAUUUACUGAAGAUACUGCUAAACAGGGAUAUAAUAUAAAAGCUUAAAUGUAUAUGUUUAUAUACAUGUUAAAUAUACAUUCAGAUUAUCAUCGUGUAUAAUAAAGGUGAAUUUUACUAACUAGACCUCACUCUGUUCAAGUUUAUAGUUUUCUAGAUACUGCUAAGAACAAUUUAUAUUUGUGUAUUUGUUGUUUGCUAAGGAAAUGCUAUAAAUACUUAAAAAAACAAAAUUUUUAAGUGUAAAAAUCCAUUUAUAUUUGAAAAAACAAAUUCUGACAAUUCUUUGCGAGCUUAACUGUGUACAUGAAAACUUAGAAAUAAAAGUCUAAUGUGUACUUUGUUUAUGAAUUCAUGGUCUCCUUGUCCCUAUUUGUUUAAGUUAGUAAGUCUUUGUAAUAUAAAUAUUUUUAGAUCUUUCGGUGAUCUAUUUCUAUAAAACUGCUGAGGCUUCUGUUUCUCUGGAUUUAAAUAUAGUUCCUCUCUCUUCAUUUUGAAACCACAGAGGGCAGGUUACCAGUCAGUCCACCACAGUGGCCCUUGGUUGUUGUUUCGGUUAACUCAGUGAAAAGCUAUGUGGAUAAUAUACAAAAAGCAGUUGUAUAUCUAUGUAUCAGCAACAAACAAAUAAAAAUGAAAUUAAAAAAAUACCAUUUACUGACAAAUAGAAAUGGCAAGCAAUAGGAUAUAUUGGAGAAUAUGAGUAAGCCAUUUGACAUAAACCUAAUUCGGCCUAACUUUGUUUUUUCCAAAAGGGCCUGACUGUGGCUGUUGAGCAAGCGUUGCAUAUCUGCUUUAAACAUUUGCUAUGGCAAGAACAAAUGCCCUUAAGAUAAAGGUGCAACUUCCCCCAACAUUGGCAUUUCCUUAAGGAUAAGCAUCUCUCCCUAGGCUAGGAACUGACUGCUGUGCUCACCUGUGACCACCCAGCUUGAGACAGCAGAACUGCCACCCUACUGUGUCCACUGAGACAGCAGACCUACUACCUGCUGUUUCCAUCAAUCACUGUGCCAACAGAGCAGUCUCACAACUAUUGUAAAAGGGACAUUUCAAUCAUAUGUGAAACAUCCUCUUUGAGGAUACAUAACCACUCUGUGUACCCCACUUCUUUGGUGCCCUUUCUUUCGUCCUUCGGGAAGAAAGGCCCCAGGCCAUGGUCCUCACAUAUUGGCUCAGAAUCAACUUACCCAAAUUUUCUUUUAUCGAUUGGUUAUGGAUUAUUUUCGUCGACAUACAAUAGCAACAGAAACUGUGAAAUACCCCAAGGAUAAAUCUAGCAAAAGUUUUAUGAGACCUCUACAAUGGAAAUUAAACUCUAUUGAUUGAAAUUAAAGAAGAUGUGAAUAAAAUGGAGAGACACGCCAUGGCAAACAGGACUCAGCACUGUCCAGUGGCCGGUUCUCCCCGGGAGGGUCAAGUGGAUUCCAUGCAGCCUCAGGCAGGUCUGAGCGGACAUGUAUGUGCACAUUCGUGUUUGGAAACUGAUAGGCUAGUCCUAAAAUUUACAGUUUAAGUGACAAAGAAUAACAAGGCAGUCUUGAAGAAAAGGUGGAGAAAUUACCCUCCCACAUGUCAAGAUCUAUUAUAAAGUCAUAAAGUCAUAGUGUGGUAUUUGUGUAGCAACAAACAGAUAGCAGAUGGACGAACAAAUAGAGACACAUUACAAUGCAGACGACGCUGGGUGCACUGGAGGGAGGACAGUCACUCGAUAAGCAGUGCGAGGUCAAUCUGGUACCCUUACUGAAAACAACGAACUUUUGGCCUCUACUUCACACCAUUCAUAAAAAUCAAUUCCAGAUGGGUUGUAGAUCCAAAUAUGAAUAAAGCUUCUAGAAAAAAAUAUAGAACAUCUUUAUGAUCUUGGAGUUGGCAAAAUUUCAUUUAAAAGUUCACAAGACAACACUAACCAGAAAUAAUAAUUUGGAAAAUAAUAUCAUCAAGAAUUUCCGACACCAAAAGACAUCACUAAGAAAAUGAAAAGACAAUGUAUAGUGGCUGGCCCGGUGGUGUAGUGGUUAAGUUCAUGCUCUCUGUUUCAGCAGCCCAGGUUCGCAGGUUUGGCAGACCUGCACCACUCAUCAAGCCAUGCUGUGGCAGCAUCCCACAUGCAAACUAGAGGAAGACUGGCACAGAUGUUAGCUCAGGGUGAAUCUUCCUCAAGCAAACAAAAGAGGAAGAUUAGCAACAGGACCAAUCUUCCACAGCAAAAAAAAAUAAAAAUAAAAAAGACAAUAUAUAGAAGAGAAGAUAUUUGCAACAAAUAUAACAAACUUGUACCCAGGAUAUCUAAAGAAUUCCUUCUAACUAAUAAGACAGACAACCCAGUAGAAAAAUGGGCUAAGACUGGAACAAAAAGAGGAUAUAUUAAUAAUUAACAUAAAAAGUUACUCAGCCUCAUUAGUUAUCAAGUAAAUGCAAAUUGAAAUCACAGUUCAGUGCCACGACACUUACAAGAAUACGUAAAAUUAAAAGGAAAAAAAUAUAUCUAAUGUUGGCAAGGAUGUGGAGCAACACUGCAGGGCAGCCCUAGGUGGGACAGCCAUAACAAUGGGAAAGUGCUUGGUGGCAUCUCCGCAAGCUGGAUAUAGCCAUACCCUACGUCUCAGCUCUCGUUUUCUACCACAGAAAUUUGUAGAGUGUUCUCCAAAAGAAAUGAAUAAUAGCGCUAUUGGUAAUAGCCCCAAAUUGGGACCUGCCCAGAUGCCCAUUAACAGUAGGAUUUAUACAUUGUGGAUUAUUCAUACAACAGAAUACCACACAGCAGGAGAAUGAACAAUUUACAACGUUACAUGAACUUAUCAGUGAAUCUCACAAACAUAAUGUUGACUGAAAUAAGCCGGACACAAAAGAGGGCAUGCUGUAUGUUUCUAUUUAUGUGAAUUUCCAUCAGGCGAAUCUACUGUACCUGGACGGUGACAGCAGUCAGGGUGCAGUUGCCUCAGGGCACGGGAAACGGCCCGAGGGUCAGGAUUCUGGGGGGAGUGGUAACACGUCGAUUCUUGGUCUAACUACUGGUUACACAGGUGUGUCACCUGAUGAAAAGUCUUCAAGUCGAAAUUUAUUUUUGUACUUUUGUGAUUGUGUAUUACACUUUAAUGACACAAAAAUUAAAUUAAAAAUUUUCAAAAGCUAAAUGUUGAAAAAUUAAAGCUAAAUCACCUGACCUUAAAUUCAACAGGUAGAACUCUCAUUCAAGCAGUCACUAAGAGAAAUUCUUCCAGGUCAUCUUUCUCUCAAAAUAGAGCAACAGCACACAUUUUUGAGGAACGUUCUCUGAAACUGGCACAAACUGUUCCACCAUCCAGAAGUUUACGUAGCAAAUGGACUUUUAAGCAAGCAUCCUCUUUUCUUCAAGACGCGAUACUAUUUCACAGAGCGCCACUCCCCUCUAAAGCUCCCUGUUCCAAUUCAAUCCCAUUUUCUGACACGUCCCCAAAUCCCUGGCAGCUCAGGAAGACAUGGCGGAGGCCCGAAGGCUGCAGCUGUGGCCCCGCUCCUGCCUCUCUUCAGCCACGUGUGUUGCGGGAAGCGGGUCCAGGCUCGAAGAGCUGAAGUGACCUCCCCGGGGCCGUGCGGGCGUCAGGAGCCGCGCCAGGACUGAGGGCGCCGCUGCUGCAGUGCUGGCUGGACUCAGGGGGCCUCGGAGCGUUCCCACAGCCAGGUGAGCCAGGACUGCGCUAGAACACGCAAGCCCCCCGCCACUCAGACGCAAGAACAUGAAUACACUGUACAUUCAGCAUUCUUAGUUUUCAUUUUUAGGAUAGUUAUUGGGAUUGAAUUGUUGUCUUUUCUUUGAACAAAAGAAUGUUCUGUGCUUGUUAAAACUGUCUUUUAAAGUUUUCUUUUUAUUAAGAAAAGAAGAAGGCUUCAACUUCAAACACCAGCUUGAGGAAACUUUUGUAUUUAGCCAACAUUCAAGAGCCUGGACUGCGUCACACAGCCGGUCACGUGUACUGACAAGCUGCCUUGCGUGCUUCUCGUCUGAGGACAGUGCAGCCCGUGAGGGUGCCGGAAGACGUGUGCAGGCAUUUCUGGUUGUGACAAUAAGUGGGUAAUGCCACCCCAUGAGACCUGGGACAUCCCACACAACAAAAAAUAAUUUUGGCCCAAAUAAUAGCAGUCCUCCAAGAUACACUUACGCAUUCUUAAAUACAGGUUACUUUUAGGAAGAUCUGAACGGUCCACACUUCAGAGUAUUCAGUUUCACACCCCUCUGGGGGUCCUGCCUGGAAGCCCCGAGUUCUGAAAGAUCCACACGUGCUGAUCUGGAUGAUCUUAAAAACAAUCAUAAUUAGAGAAUAAAAAUUGCCUCCAGACUGACUUGAAAGGUAUCCUGUGAUCUUAGAGUGACUGCCAAAUGUUCUGUAGUGUAGAGUUCAUCCAAAGCAUUGUCACCAAAAGCCAAGGAUGGCCUUAAAGUGCUUCCUUUCUGGCUCAGAGAGGAAAGGACAUCCCGUGCUACCCUCCCAGCCUCGGAGGGUGAGCCCGUUAUUUCUGCAGUUGGGUGACACUCAUUACCUGAGAAUCCACAGCUUUUAGGACUUGGCUGUCUAGCUCAGUCGCUGGAGAACUGUGAAUUUCUGGAUGUGCUAAGAAGCUUUCAACACCUAGGCUUCCACAUUCCUAAAAAAAACACGUCCUUAAAACAGUCUUUGAAUUUUAAAACAGCUCACUCGGAUUUGGUGGUGUCGCCAGCCCCUCUGGGAGGGUGGAGGCAGCCGUGUCCCUGCCGCCCUCCCGCGGGGUCACUGCAGAGCGCCCACCGUCCUCCGCAGACACCGCCCGACUCCGGAACAGGCCGGCACCCUGGACAACAGGGGACAGUGGGCAGGUGUCCCACCCCCGGAGCGUCUGGUUUUGUGGAGCCUGCGCCUGCUGCCCUGACUGCGAAGCUGUCUGAGUUCUUGAUGGUCCCCUCCCGCUCACUCGCCGGGUCGGACUGGAUUUCACUGACCCCCUUAUUUCACAAGCAUCCCCUCAGUCCGUGCUGGGCCAGCCACACGGCUCCCAUUCUGGCCCUGGUCAGCAUUGUGGUCGCCGCCAGGAGUCUCGAAGGAUUCCCUGAGCUCCUGAAGCCACAUCCGGGCCGGAAGCAAACACUUGGCGUCCUUACUGUGUGCGAGGCGCUCUUCUAAACAUUUGAUUAUAUUAACUGAUUUAAUCCUCACAAAUAAUAGGCACAAAUAUUGUCUUUCAGAUAAAGAAUCUGAGGUGUGAGAAAUUGAGAAAACUACCCAAAGUUGUGCUGACGAGCCUUAGAGCUGGGAUUCCAGCCCCGGCAGUGUGGACCAGAGAUGUGCUCCUAAGCAUUAAGCAAUACGCACAAGUUUCCUCUCAGUGAGGGACUGUGUCUCAGUGUUUCCAGAGGAGGAAGCUGAAGUGGGGAAGUUAAGAAAGUGUAGUGGUCACUGAGGUCCACACACAGCUCAGUCUCCUCUCCUCCCGGCCGUGAGAAGAUGGGCUUCUCCACACCUUCUGAGGGGAGGGGUGUCUUGCUUUAGUCAAUGAGAUGUGACCACAAGUGCCAGGGAACCACUCAGAGUCCAUGUCCCAUUCACCUGCUCCUGCCCACUGCGUUGGUGCGGCACUUGUCACAGUGGAGCCUUCGCUGCUCUGGCCCCUGGAGUGACCGUGUGGAACAGCGUCCCUCGCUGGACCAGCCUUGGACUUACAGACAAAGGAAACGUUUGCUCUGGUAAACUGAGAUUUGGGUUGAGGAGGGAGAAGGAGAGAGUUUGUAGCCAUAACAUACUCCAGCCUCAACUUAACAACUCGCCCUAACUCCUUUAGCUUGCUGGUGCCAGACGUGUCUCACAUCCCAGCCUCUAACCCCACAAGUCGUGUUUUUCAUUUAGUCUCUCUCUCUUGGUGUUACAUGACCUGCAGAAACCUAAUCUUAGUUCUUUUGCUUGCCUUUAAUUUUACGGUUAUAAUCAAAGUGCUUAAGAAGUGCAAUCUGACGUCUGCGGUUAGUCCAAAAUGCAUAGAAUGUAGAAGAAAGUUUCUAUCCUUCUCUGUCCAUGUGUUUGGUCUGAAGCUGAAUGUCACGAGUUCCUGUCACUGGAGAUAUUCAAGCAGGAGUUUCGGCAGCCGCUGGGUGUGUGUUACAGCAGUGGUCUAACCAGCAGAAACCUGAGAGCCACUUCAGUCCUGAGAGUUUGUUCAACGUGCAUCAGCAAUUCCCAGGCAUACCACUUACCAGCUUCUUGGGUAUCACUUAACUUCUCUGGGCCUCAGUUUCCUCCUAUUCAAAGAACAGCUUUAUAAUAACUUAUAAAGCUGUUAGAGAGAUUAAAUGAGGUUGAAGAACAAUAGCGGUAUCCUGAUUCCAACUCUCCCCAUCACAUUCCCAAAAUAACCACCAGAGCAACAAGGGGAGCGGAUAGAACUGCACAGGACCCAUGACUUAAGCAUUGUUAGGAGACAGAAAACACUGCAACCUUCAAGUCUCUUAUGAGGAAAGAAAGAAAAAAUUCUAACAAAGCUUCCAAUACCUGCAAACCACCCCAGCAAAGCUGUAUCCACCUAGAAUUAUUAUUGCCAGUCGCACUCGGCUGGUGACCACAGCUUAUGUCAGCAGCCAUGACGCCGUGUCCCAGCUGCGGGACAGCCCACCUGAGGGACAGCAGAGGAGGCAGAAGAGACCCUCACUCCCAGAGCUGCCGCUGCCGGAAACAGGCCUUCCCGUGCCUGGGCGUGGUCUGGGCUCCAUCCACAGGAGCAGUCUUCUGGGAAGCAGGGCCAGCCCAGUCACCAACCGGACAGGCCAGGCUGGUGAGGGCGGAAAACGUCAUCUGAAAGCCGUCCUUCCCAGGGCUUCAGAAAAGGCGAGACUGCCCACCGACGGCCCAAGAAAGACCUGUGUGUCCUGCAGCCUCGAGCUCUGCUUUGCAGGCCUGAGCUCACCACUGUCUGGCAGGCGUCUCUUGCUUCUGAGGCGCCCCUAAAGCACUUUCGCUCUCUGUAGGCGCUUUGACGGCAGCUUCUGCGGGUGGAUUCUGGCCCACAGGAGAGGCUCAGAUGACCGAGUUAGAAUUUGAGGCUCAUCCAGUGUUAAUCUUAGUUGUGUGCACAGUAUCACCCCCAGUUUUAAUGUUUGCUCAAUACUCUUUUCUCUGGAUGAAAAGAGAAGGGAGACUCACACAUCCUGGAGGAAACAUAGGUUUUCUUCUUUUGUCUAUCCCUGAACGGCCAAGGACAGUGCUUUCAAGUGGCUUAUGGAAAGGAUUGAGAGUCGAGGGUAAAGAAGACAGAGAGAAGCUGCUUCCGUUGUCAGCCUCUGAAGUCCAUGAACAGUGAAAGUUCAGCUGAGGUCUACAAAAAUAUUAGCAAUGCCAAAAGGCCGGCAGCCAGGAUGUGUCUUUGUGCAGGAACUGAAUGGCUACCCCAGCUGGAAAAGUUUAAAAACCCUGGCAGGGGUGGAACAGUCCUAUAAAAAAGACAGUGAGAAAGAAGUGUUUCUGAAAUAAUUAGAUUUAUGAACCUGUAAAAGAACGUUCUCCACAGACUCUAAGCCUCCUAACGGGGACGUCUCAGGCAAACAGAGUCAUUCCGUAAAUCAACCGGCAACGUGAAAAACAAGUGUUCUCAGACCUGCAGAUCUGUGGACCCAUCAUUUCAAGAGUAUUUCAUUUAAAAAGUACCACAUCUAUUUGGAAAUUGCCUGAUCUACUGAUCGGUAAACUCUCACUGUCUAGAAGUUUUAAGAGGGAGAGUGAGUGCUUUAAACAGGUCGACGAUGCACUGGGGCGUACCUCUCUUGUCUUGGUCCGAUUCCCACUAGGAGCCUAUGACCUCAGACUUGUUACUUAAUCACAAUUUCCUCCCGAAUCGUCUUUGUAAUCAUCGUCGUCAUCACCUCAAGGAAGACGCCUGCUUUCAAGCAGCUUCCACUCUGUUCUAGCUGAAAUAAGGAUCACAAAUUGCUUUACUGCUGUCACUGCAGAGCCGUUACGGAAUCUUUCUGAGGAAUUAUAAAG
rnacentral:lncRNA from 1 species